rnacentral:rRNA from 1 species
UACGUAGGGGGCGAGCGUUAUCCGGAUUCAUUGGGCGUAAAGCGCGCGUAGGCGGCCGCCUAAGCGGAACCUCUAACCCCGGGGCUCAACCUCGGGCCGGGUUCCGGACUGGGCGGCUCGAGUGCGGUAGAGGAGAGCGGAAUUCCCGGUGUAGCGGUGGAAUGCGCAGAUAUCGGGAAGAACACCGAUGGCGAAGGCAGCUCUCUGGGCCGUCACUGACGCUGAGGCGCGAAAGCUGGGGGAGCGAGCAGG